rnacentral:lncRNA from 1 species
UGUUCUUGCAUACACCCUUCUAGGAGUGGAUUACAAUGAAGCAACCGGAGAAUGCGCAUUUCUAAUACUAGAUCCCCACUAUACUGGAAGUGAUGAUGUGAAGAAAAUUGUAAAUGGGGGAUGGUGUGGAUGGAAAAAAUCAGUUGAUAGCAAGGGAAAGAGUUUCUUUUUGCAAGAUAAGUUCUACAAUCUUCUACUUCCGCAAAGGCCUAACAUGGUUUAGUUUUCUGAUUUAUUUUGGUAAACCAAAAGAAGUGAUUAUGAAUUAGCAGCUUCAGAGAUGGGAGAAUUAUGGCUUUAUUACUAAAUGCAAAAGGACCAUAAAUCCAUAAUUUUUCAACACGAC